GUACUGCUGAGGAGUCCUAUACUAGGACGAAAUAGUUAUCCAAUAC
rfam:Schistosoma curassoni strain Dakar, Senegal genome assembly, scaffold: SCTD_scaffold0006927